GACGUAGGGCGCAAGCGUUGUCCGGAUUUAUUGGGCGUAAAGAGCUCGUAGGCGGUCUGUUGCGUCGGCUGUGAAAACCCGGGGCUCAACCCCGGGCCUGCAGCCGAUACGGGCAGACUAGAGUUCGGCAGGGGAGACUGGAAUUCCUGGUGUAGCGGUGAAAUGCGCAGAUAUCAGGAGGAACACCGGUGGCGAAGGCGGGUCUCUGGGCCGAUACUGACGCUGAGGAGCGAAAGCGUGGGGAGCAAACAGG
rnacentral:rRNA from 1 species